rnacentral:rRNA from 1 species
UACGUAGGGGGCAAGCGUUGUCCGGAUUUAUUGGGCGUAAAGGGCUCGUAGGCGGUUUGUCGCGUCGGGAGUGAAAACACCGGGCUUAACUCGGUGCUUGCUUUCGAUACGGGCAGACUAGAGGCAUGCAGGGGAGAACGGAAUUCCUGGUGUAGCGGUGAAAUGCGCAGAUAUCAGGAGGAACACCGGUGGCGAAGGCGGUUCUCUGGGCAACAACUGACGCUGAGGAGCGAAAGCGUGGGGAGCGAACAGG